AGCAUGAGACUUUGGCAAGCCAAACAGAAGAACAUCACAAAUAUCUCAUAUAGACAAGCAUCACAAGCAUAAUAAGCACAUCAAAUAACAAGGCAAAAACAUUUAAUGAACAGGCUACUUCUUUCAUUCAUUAGUCAUAAUCAAUAUAAUUAAGUUGGUUGUCCAUAUAUCACUUGUAGGUGCGGGGGAACCUACAAGGAGUAGCGGGACAAGUACUCACCAUGAUAGUGGCUAGCUAUACCGAUUGCUUCAUGGUAGUCAACUAGUCACUCCCUCCUAAAGAGCAUUAGGAACACAAU
rnacentral:misc_RNA from 1 species